AGAACGCCACCUGGUGGUGUUCUUACAACUGACGAAACUUUGUAAUAAUUUCUGCACGCAAUUUCCUUUAAUGUAAGAGUGACUCUCCUCCUGCAGAAGAGCUGCAGUAACGAAGGAAUUGACGCAGACGAACGGGAAACAGCAUGAAAGGUAACUAUUUGUAUUUCUUUGACCUAGACGUUAAGAUAAAAAGUAUGACGUAGCAUAUGCGGUGCUUGGGUCCAGAACUGCAUGUGGUACGUCCCAAACUGCAUUAGUGCGCAUAAUAUGCGAGACCCGGUAACGCGGCCUACGUCACAGAAAAAAAACCCACGUGUCCAAUUCCCUUAAAAUAGCAUUUUUCCUGCUGGGGUAGAAGGUUCUCUUGGUAAUAAUAAUAACAAUUUUCUUUUUCUUAUAUUGCACCGCCGAGGUGAUGCUGGAUCACCUGAAAAAAGCAUCUUCGCGAAGAGGGUCGAGAAAGAAGACAAAUUCAAUGCAUUGUCAGGGUCAGAAAAUACCAACUGGGUUGCAAGCCAUAAAAGGAUCCAGUUUUCACGAGGUAUUGGAUUUAUGUCUGGAAAGAAAACGGAAUUUCAAAUAAGUUCCUAAAAAACAGAAUACUGCUUGUAAACCUUUUUAAGGCAGUGUGGGCACCGCGUGAAUUUCCCAGAUUGUAAAUCUCCGAUUCUGUAUGUCCAACACGUCAUAGAAAUCCUAGAAAAUAAAAUAGGAUGAUGGUAAACGU